rnacentral:misc_RNA from 1 species
AACGCACAUUGCGCCCGCCAGUAUUCUGGCGGGCAUGCCUGUUCGAGCGUCAUUUCCACCCUCGGGCCCUGCCCGGUGUUGGGGACCUGCGCCCAGCGCAGCCCCCGAAAGACAGUGGCGGACUCGUCUGGUCCCGAGCGUAGUAACAUACGUCGCUCCGGGUUCUCCAGGCGGGCACGGCCAGAAGCCGCGUCCUCUCCGGAGGCGCACUUUAUCAAGGUUGACCUCGGAUCAGGUAGGAAUACCCGCUGAACUUAA